rnacentral:misc_RNA from 1 species
GUGAAGAACGUAGCGAAAUGCGAUAAGUAAUGUGAAUUGCAGAAUUCCGUGAAUCAUCGAAUCUUUGAACGCACAUUGCGCCCCCUGGUAUUCCGGGGGGCAUGCCUGUCCGAGCGUCAUUGCAACCUUCAAGCGCGGCUUGUGUGUUGGGUCUCGUCCCCCGUGGACGGGCCCGAAAGGCAGUGGCGGCGUCCCGACAUGGUGCCCGAGCGUAUGGGAAUCCUCUUCCGCUCGAAUCGGCCCAUGCGGCGCUGGUCGUAACCAAAUUUUUUACCGGUUGACCUCGGAUCAGGUAGGGAUACCCGCUGAACUUAAGCAUAUCAAUAAGCGGAGGA